UACGGAGGGGGCUAGCGUUGUUCGGAAUUACUGGGCGUAAAGCGCGCGUAGGCGGGCCGUCAAGUCGAGGGUGAAAUCCCCCAGCUCAACUGGGGAAGUGCCUCCGAUACUGGCGGCCUCGAGGGGGAUAGGGGCAUGCGGAACUUCCGGUGGAGCGGUGAAAUGCGUAGAUAUCGGAAGGAACACCGGUGGCGAAAGCGGCGUGCUGGAUCCCUUCUGACGCUGAGGCGCGAAAGCCAGGGGAGCGAACGGG
rnacentral:rRNA from 1 species